AUUGAACGCUGGCGGCAGGCCUAACACAUGCAAGUCGAACGGUAACAGGAAGAAGCUUGCUUCUUUGCUGACGAGUGGCGGACGGGUGAGUAAUGUCUGGGAAACUGCCUGAUGGAGGGGGAUAACUACUGGAAACGGUAGCUAAUACCGCAUAACGUCGCAAGACCAAAGAGGGGGACCUUCGGGCCUCUUGCCAUCGGAUGUGCCCAGAUGGGAUUAGCUAGUAGGUGGGGUAACGGCUCACCUAGGCGACGAUCCCUAGCUGGUCUGAGAGGAUGACCAGCCACACUGGAACUGAGACACGGUCCAGGCUCCUACGGGAGGCAGCAGUGGGGAAUAUUGCACAAUGGGCGCAAGCCUGAUGCAGCCAUGCGGCGUGUAUGAAGAAGGCCUUCGGGUUGUAAAGUACUUUCAGCGGGGAGGAAGGGAGUAAAGUUAAUACCUUUACUCAUUGACGUUACCCGCAGAAGAAGCACCGGCUAACUCCGUGC
rnacentral:rRNA from 1 species